rnacentral:lncRNA from 1 species
UUGGACUAAAGCCAAUCAGUAUAGUAUCAUAUAUCCAUCUUUGAUUUAUCAUCUCAGAACUCCUAGAUACUGAGGCUGUAGUAAAUGGGUUGGUCAUGUUCUCCUUUCCAUCGAUCUUCUAAAGUUCGAUGUUACCUUAAUAGAUUUUUCGAAUAAGAUAGUAGCGAUGCAAAAUGUUUGAUAAGCUAAUGGUGUUAGAUGUGUGCCUUAGAUGCC